UGAGAAGAAACAAGUUCCUUCAUUUAAGGGUAAUUUUGCUGGAAUCACGCUUUCCAAAGAGACUACAAAAAUGCUUCCCACUAGUGAUGAUGAUAAAGGGAAUGCAAUGGCCAAUAAUGAAAGGCUAUUCGCCAUUCAUCUAGCCAAAAUUGAAAGAAUAUUACAGUCCUCUCACCCAAGUCCUGGAUCCGGUCACCGCUGAAAUGGCAUUAUUCUCCCAUUGUUCCCCCACACUAUAUGUAGCUUUAUCAAACAGUCAUAGUUAUAAUUUCUAUGCUUGCCUCUUUACAGCACAGAUUGUAUGUCUUUCUAUUCGAGUUUGUUGGGGUUUUAUUUGUAACUUGGGGUUGAGACCUUAAUUUUAUUAAUAUAUGUAUACAAUGAAGUUUGCUAUGAAUAAGAAAUAAAACUCAUGAUCAUACAAGUUUCACAUUGUUCAUCUCUAUUUAAUGCUUUCACUUUCUUUAUACUCUCUUUAUAAGCCACAAAUAUGAAGAUUUUUCCGCAUAAGAACAAGUUUCAAACUUAGAAAAUUCCAAAUCUAUGGAACAAUACCAAAAAGGAAGCAGAAAAUUUCAGAAGAAAUCUGGGGGUGUGUUGUACAUUGAAGAUAGAAAACAAGAAUUCUUGAUGUUAAAACAAAGUGAGAUGUCAGUGGUUGACUAAGAACGGGAAUUCUCACGACUCAAUAGAUAUGCUGUGGAAUAUGUGCCAAUUGAAGCUGAUAGUUGUAAGAUAUUUCUACAGGAUUUACGAGAUGAACUACGAGUAUAGCUGGUAUCUCUCAGAAUUACUGAAUUUGUAGACUUAGUUGAAAGAGCAAAGAUGGUUGAACAAGUACUGAGUUUAGAUCAAAAGCCUGAAAAUACUCGUCCGUUCGAAAAAAGUUUCGGAGCCACUAGUUCAAAUCUGCAACCAAAUAGAUCAAAAGAAUCUCGAGGUAGUUGGAGAUUGAGUUUUAAAUCAGAUAGAAGUGAUAGAAACCGUAGGAGACAAUGGUUGACUACGAACGGGAAUUCUCACGACUCAAUAGAUAUGCUGUGGAAUAUGUGCCAAUCGAAGCUGAUAGUUGUAAGAGAUUUCUACGGGGUUUACGAGAUGAACUACGAGUAUAGAUGGUAUUUGUAGACUUAGUUGAAAGAGCAAAGAUGGUUGAAUAAGUACUGGGUUUAGAUCAAAAGCUUGAAAAUACUCGUCCGUUCGAAAAAAGUUUCGGAGCUUCUAGUUCAAAUCUGCAACCAAAUAGAUCAAAAGAAUCUCGAGGUAGUUGGAGAUUGAGUUUCAAAUCAGAUAGAAGUGAUAGAAACCGUAGAAGACAGAUGACAAUUUCUACUGGCAGUGUACGAGGUCCAUCACAGGAUAUUGAAAUUCCAGAUUGUGAACAUUGAGGGAAAUAGCAUCGGGUUGAGUGUUGGAGAUUAACUCGAGACUGUUUCCUUGGUGGAUCCACAUAGCACUUUGUUAGAGAUUGUCCGAAAAAUAAAAAUGUUACACUAGUUACAUCACAGAGAUCUGUGCCUACUUCUAGAGGUCGAGAAUUAGACAGAAGCGGUUCAUUUUCCAGAGGUGGUGCUAGAAGAGGAAGUGAUGUUGCUACUCAACAAUCAGAAGCUAGAGUACCAGCUCGAGCUUAUGUUGUACGGACUCGUGAAGAGGGUGAUGAACAUGAUGUGGUGACAGGUAUAUUUCUAUUGCAUUCAGAACCUAUUUAUGCUUUAAUAGAUCCGGGACCUUCACACUCAUAUGUUAAUACAAAAUUAGUUGAGUUGGGAAAUUUAAAAUUUGAAACAUCAAGAGUAUCAACAGCAGUGUCUAGUCCAUUGGGGUAAACUGUAUUAGUGGAUAAGAGUUAGGGAGUGUUACAAAGUAAUUUAACCUUCUUUUGACAUAUAAAAUUCAAAAGCCCACUAAAUGAGAUUAAACAUGUUCAAGGGUCGAGUUACCUGUUCAGGCCCACUAAAUGACAUAUAACGUACAUUAAUAUCAUGCUUAAGCUCGGCCAAACCUAACCGAGCUUGAUCCAUGAGCACUUCUAAAUGAGAUUAAUUGAAUAAGCACAUCACUUAUCUUAUUUAUUUAGGGCUAAUGUACUAUUUGCCCCCGAAACUUGCACCCAAUUAUCACUUUGGCACUUAAAGAAUUUUUAUAUUAGUUUGAUAUUUGAAGUUUCCAUUCUGUCAUCAGUUUUCCUUAACUGUUAACGUCGUUUUUUUUUUUCCAUUUUAAAAGAAAUUAUUUCAAGAAAAUAAAUUUCGGGAGACAUCACCUUUUUUUUAACGCCGUUAACGGCUGAGGUAAAUUGAUAAUGAGGUAGAAAUGGAAGUUUCAGGUACUAAAUUAAAACAAAAAAUUUAUUUAGGUACCAAAAUGAUAAUUAGGUGCAAUUUUGGAAGUAAAUAAUAUAUUAAUCCAUUUAGUUAUUCAUAGAAAAUAUAUUAUUUUAUAUUGAUUUUUCUAAAUAAUUACAUUAUAAACUAUUAAUACCUCCGCUUAGUGUGAACCGUUACUGGUUCCAUCAAGCUAAGGUCUUGUUAGCCAAAAUAAAGGACAAUGGGACGAUCUAAUAUAAUGCCCUCGAACCGCCAUUGAUAUGCAGGUGUUACCUACAGAGACUGGUGCUACCCUCUAUCAAGCUUAAGCUACCAAGGCUUCCAAUAAUACCUAUGCUUUAGCGCCUAAUGUUUAAUAGUAGUAAGUUGACUAUUGCUCGGAGACUCAAUUUUAAUGGCAGAUUCUCUUUGGUCAGCAAUACUAGACCUUUUAAGUUUAUAUCAUCUAAUAACUAACAACCAUUCCCCACAAUUCUUCAUGUUCAUCCUCAUCAAAAACUUGGGUGGUCUUCAGUAAGAUGUAAAACAAUGAGUAAUCUUUAGGUACUGUUCAUCUGAAAAGGCCUACACACUCAACCGACAGUGCUUUCAAUAAUGUGUCUUUCAUGUGUACAUUGAACUAAGAAAUGCCUUGGAAAGAAAGACGUAUCUGAGUUGCAAAUCAGAAACUAAACCAAUGUCUCCAUCAUCAUGAAUUUUCCCUAAUUCUCCAUUUUAUACCUAGUACUGCUUUUGAAGAAAUUCUAACUCUAAGCUCUCAGGUCAAUGGACAAAAUGAAUGAAAAUAAUAAAGUAAGAAGGUUUUGAAAUUAAAAAUUAUAAUUAUAAUUGCCAAAAAAAUAGUAAAUAAAAUUUGAGAAAUUAAUAUAAAGAUUUUUUAUUUCUUUUCGACCAAUGUAAAAUGUUAUAUUAAUAAAAGAAAACCAUUGGUAAAAGAUAGUAUUGAAUUCCCAUAAAAUAUAAUUUAAAUUAUGAUCGAUUUUUGUAAUUACGAUUUUAUUUACUGUUUUUUUAUUAAUUCAUCUUUUUCAAGUAAGUUUUAUUUUUGACCUUAUUAAUAGAAUUGGUACUGACUUAUGUUCCAAUUUAUAUUACUGGAAAUCCAUUUAUGAGAUGAUCCCUUUGUGGUAAAGAAAAGUGCUCUGAAUUCAGCAGCACAGUACCAUCCACUUUAGGAACAAUUAGACUGGUGUUUGUCAACUUCAUGAAUAUACAGCAUCAAAAAAUGCUCACCUUCUCAAGUCUUAGCAGCUUAGUAAAAACAUCAUUUUCCACGUUUCUUACCUUAUUCGGAACCUAGAAGGUGAUUGAGUAUAGAUAAAGAUAUAGCAAUUCCUGAUAAUGAAAUUCAUGCAAAGAUUCACUACUUUCUAGCUAGUGGUGCAAUAACAGCCCUCAGUUUGCUCUGAUGAAAGAGUGAUUUAAAAUAUUUAGACCGAUUCACGUGGACUUAGCUAGCUUAUAUCCAUUGGCUAAAACAAUGUAUUUCUACACUGAAUAACACGUUUACUCCUAGGCCUAUAUCCCAUUGGUAAACUUGGUUUUCAGAUCUCCUGUAGUCAUCUAGAUCCUUGAUCUAUGAAAGUAAAAGCAAUGUUCUAGUAAGUAAAGUGGAGAAAAUAACAAACUUUAACUAAACACCACAAAAAAUGUAGAAGGAAAUGGUGUUCGGUUUGACGCUUAAAAGGAUGAAUCACAGAGUAUAAAAGAUCGUGGUCAGAGGGGAAAAAUCAAGUUAACCCCCAAAUAUUGGUGGUGACAAGUGUAUUGAAAUUGCAGGGAGUUACUUAAAGCACAUGUAAACUUGCUUACAGUCUAGUUAAUUUGUACCUAACCAUGCAGAAAAUUACCCAAAUAUCCUUUGAUUCAUUGCAAACGUGUUGAGUUAGCUAACAGGGGUCCCUCGGUACUUAUAUAUAUAUACCUCAGAAUACACUAAUUUUUCAUACAAGGCCUCACUUCUCCAACAACAGGCAGAGACAAUAUAUUCUUAAAUGGCUCGUUUAAGCCUUGUUUUGCUUAUCCUUAUUGUCGCUUUGAUCUUCCAUCCAACAUGUUUUGAAGCUAGAAAGCUUUUGAGUAACAUUGAGAAGAAACAAGUUCCUUCAUUUAAGGGUAAUUUUGCUGGAAUCACGCUUUGCAAAGAGACUACAAAAAUGCUUCCCACUAGUGAUGAUGAUAAAGGGAAUGCAAUGGCCAAUAAUGAAAGGCUAUUCGCCAUUCAUCUAGCCAAAAUUGAAAGAAUAUUACAGUCCUCUCACCCAAGUCCUGGAGCCGGUCACCGCUGAAAUGGCAUUAUUCUCCC
rnacentral:lncRNA from 1 species